rnacentral:rRNA from 1 species
GACAGAGGCCUCAAGCGUUAGGCGGAAUCACUGGGCUUAAAGCGUGUGUAGGCGGGUCGUUAAGUACCUUGUGAAAUCCCACGGCUCACCCGUGGAACUGCUGGGUAUACUGGCGAUCUUGGGCCAACUAGGGGCAACUGGAACAAACGGUGGAGCGGUGAAAUGCGUAGAUAUCCGGAAGAACACCGGUGGCGAAGGCGGCCUGCUGGGCAGUUUAGCUGACACUGAGGCGCGACAGCGUGGGGAGCAAACAGG